rnacentral:lncRNA from 1 species
UCAUCACCACUCCCCAGGAGGUGUCACUCCAGGAUGUCCGGAAAGAAAUCAACUUCUGCCGCAAGGUGAAGCUGCCCAUCAUCGGGGUGGUGGAGAACAUGAGUGGCUUCAUCUGUCCUAAGUGCAAGGUAAGAAUUGUGACAAAGGCCAGUCUUUUUUCAUUGACGCCCCAGAUUCCCCAGCCACGUUAGCCUACAGAAGUAUAAUUCAGAGAAUCCAAGAGUUUUGUAAUCUCCAUCAGUCAAAAGAAGAGAACCUCAUCAGUUCCUGAAACGAGAGAAUGUUCAGGACCAAGCAGUUACCGAGCGAGGCACUCACUGGGCAGCACAUCCAGCCAGACCCGACCAGCUCCGGGAUGGGGUGGGUCACAGCAAAAGGACCAGAUGCUGGUGUGGUCCGAAGCCACUUUCUCAGAGACACUUUAAUCAUUGAGUAUUUGUACACUUUUCUUUAGAACAUAUAUAAAGGGCAUUCUCUACAAAUGUGCCGUUUUAAGAAUAAAACCCCCUCAAAUCUC